rnacentral:rRNA from 1 species
AGUCGAGCGGAUGACAGGAGCUUGCUCCUGAAUUCAGCGGCGGACGGGUGAGUAAUGCCUAGGAAUCUGCCUGGUAGUGGGGGACAACGUUUCGAAAGGAACGCUAAUACCGCAUACGUCCUACGGGAGAAAGCAGGGGACCUUCGGGCCUUGCGCUAUCAGAUGAGCCUAGGUCGGAUUAGCUAGUUGGUGAGGUAAUGGCUCACCAAGGCGACGAUCCGUAACUGGUCUGAGAGGAUGAUCAGUCACACUGGAACUGAGACACGGUCCAGACUCCUACGGGAGGCAGCAGUGGGGAAUAUUGGACAAUGGGCGAAAGCCUGAUCCAGCCAUGCCGCGUGUGUGAAGAAGGUCUUCGGAUUGUAAAGCACUUUAAGUUGGGAGGAAGGGCAUUAACCUAAUACGUUAGUGUUUUGACGUUACCGACAGAAUAAGCACCGGCUAACUCUGUGCCAGCAGCCGCGGUAAUACAGAGGGUGCAAGCGUUAAUCGGAAUUACUGGGCGUAAAGCGCGCGUAGGUGGUUUGUUAAGUUGGAUGUGAAAUCCCCGGGCUCAACCUGGGAACUGCAUUCAAAACUGACAAGCUAGAGUAUGGUAGAGGGUGGGUGGAAUUUCCUGUGUAGCGGUGAAAUGCGUAGAUAUAGGAAGGAACACCAGUGGCGAA